rnacentral:piRNA from 1 species
UGAUCAAAGAUGGCCUGAUCAUCCGG